rnacentral:lncRNA from 1 species
UAGCGAAUUGAUUUUAGAUGUGCAAAUUAUCAUUGGUACACAGUAGACCAAUUUGACCUGAUUUGAUACAUUUUUCUGUCCAUCCAGGACUAAAUUAAUGCUGUAAGUUUACUUCCAAGAGAGACUUUGCAAAUUCCCUAUAUCUCUUCCAUGUGGUAAAUGAGAUGUGUGAUUAAGAGACAGUGAGUAUAAAUCAUCCUAAUUCAUAAUCAAGGACUGAAGACAGCUUUUCAUUUCUAUAGUGACUUAUUCAAAUGCAUUAUUUUUCUCUGCUGCCCUUAACACAGUUAAUGCUUUGUGGA